GAUGCGGGCCGGGCCCCUCUGGCGCGGCGCAGGAUCAUCUUGCGCCUCGUGAUGUCGGACCGCAUCG
rfam:Novosphingobium sp. AP12 PMI02_contig_537.537, whole genome shotgun sequence.